AGAGUUUGAUCCUGGCUCAGAAUGAACGCUGGCGGCGUGCUUAACACAUGCAAGUCGAACGCGAAAGUCCUUCGGGAUGAGUAAAGUGGCGAACGGGUGCAUAACGCGUAGGAAUCUACCCUUGGGUGAAGGAUACCCUAGAGAAAUUUAGGCUAAUACUGCAUAAGCCGGGAAACCGGGAAAGGUGGCCUCUUGCUACCGCACAAGGAUGAGCCUGCGUACUAUUAGUUAGUUGGUGAGGUAAAGGCUCACCAAGACGAAGAUGGUUAGCUGGCCUGAGAGGGUGUACAGCCACAAUGGGACUGAGAUACGGCCCAUACUCCUACGGGAGGCAGCAGUGGGGAAUAUUGCACAAUGGGCGAAAGCCUGAUGCAGCGACGCCGCGUGGAGGAUGACGGUUUUCGGAUUGUAAACUCCUGUUAAGUGGGAAGAAAGAACACGGAUUAAUACCCCGUGGAGAUGACGGUACCACUAGAGAAAGCACCGGCUAACUUCGUGCCAGCAGCCGCGGUAAUACGAGGGGUGCAAGCGUUAUUCGGAAUAACUGGGCGUAAAGAGCGCGUAGGCGGCUUGUUAAGUCUGUUGUUAAAUUACCCAGCUCAACUGGGAAGAGGCAAUAGAAACUGGCGAGCUAGAGGACAAGAGAGAGAAGUGGAAUUCUCGGAGUAGCGGUGAAAUGCGUGA
rnacentral:rRNA from 1 species